rnacentral:misc_RNA from 1 species
ACUCCGACGUAUCAAGCAUUCACAAGCAUUGUAGCCGCUAGCAUCGAUAGAUAGUUAACAGAGUUGUUUCUAGAGUAGUGGAAUUGUCGAGAUCUACGAGUUGUGUUCUUUCAAAAUUAUGGCGUUGGAAAUGGAACAAUGCAGUGCAGAGGAGGUGUGCGGUCUGAUGGGUCAAACAAAAAAAUCCCUUGAUGAAAUUCGGGAAAGACUUCAGGAUUGGCUCAAAUCACAGAAACAUCUUCCUCAAGAUAUGCCGAAGUCUACAAUGGAGAAUUUUAUCAUCGCCACAAAAAUGAGUUUGGAGCAAGCCAAGCAGAAGCUGGACAUGUAUUACACCAUGAGAACCAUCGUUCCGGAUCUCCUUAGAAACAGAGAUCCACUUAGCCAAACCAUAAUCCAGGCGAGGAAAUUGAUGUUAGCCGUUUUCCUUCCCAAGCUCACCCCCGAAAAAUACAGAAUCUGUAUCAUGCGACCCAACUCCGACGAUUACACCAAUUACGAUGCUUACGAAUCGGCUAAGUACGUUCUGAUGAUGCAAGACUAUUUGAUGUCUGCAUCUCCCAGUACCGGAUGCAUUAUCCUCUGUGAUCACACGAUGCUGACCUUCGGCUUUGUUGCCAAGUGGACGCCAACGCUCAUUAAAAAAGGCGAAAUCGUAAUGAAGAAAGCUUUCGCUCAGAGAAUCAAAGGGAUAUACAUAAUCAACCCUGUGCGGGGGUCAGAGACCGUGAUAAAAAUAGCCAAGACAGUUAUGAAACCUAAACUUGCAGCAAGGGUACUCGUUUUUCCGGGAGAAAAUUACGAAGGAUUGUUUGACUACGUACCGAAAUCUAUACUACCGCGAGAAUACGGUGGCGAUGAACGACCCUUAACUGAACUGGCUGAUUCGUGGGCUCGAACAAUUGAGGAAAAACGAGACUGGUUCUUGGAACAAGAUAAACUUGUAGUUAAUGAAAAUCUUCGACAAGGCCCAUCCUUGAAAACUGACGACCUUUUUGGAAUAACCGGAUCUUUUCGAAAACUAGAUAUUGAUUAGACCUACUACUGGAAAUUUUGUAUUGCUUAUAGUGCAGGUGUCUGUUGGUACUGUUCUCCCGAAAGAUAGAAAAAAACGUCGCCGAGAAAAAUGAAUGUGGAACAGAUAUUAUAACUCAGGUGCAUGAAGGAAGGAUAUUCAUAUCUAGAAACACAGUGGAAUCGUUUAAACCUCUUCGGUAUUCAAUCAAUCGAUCGGUGUUUUACUGCUGCUUGUUUGGCAUUUAGAAGAGCCCGAGCAGAAAAUUAAUCAGGUGGCCUGAUGUCUGAUCUGGGCCGGUUAAGGUAUCCCGGCCAGCUGAAUCGGGUCAUGAUCCGGGCCCAAUCAGGGAUGGUCAGAGCCCGAUCAGUCGAGGUUGUGGCACGCCUGCAACCUUUUGCCUGAUAGAGUUCGGGCCCGGGCCUGAUCAGCAGUCUACGUCAGGUAUGUCUAAUACGUUUUGCUUGUCGGGACUCGAAUUGAGGCCUCGUCAGUUGAGGUUAAGGUAUGCCUGGCGCAUUUUGCCUGAUUGCACUCAGGUCGAGGAUUGAUCAGAUAGUGCUAGGCGAAUCGAAUCGGGUCGAGACUUGAUCACCAAACAAUUCAGACAUACAUGAGCCACGCUCAGCAAUUCAUUUAUUUAUUACAUAAAUUUAUAUGGGCUGAAGCAUAUAAUAGUAUGGGCACAUCGGAGGUGAGCAUAUAUAUAGAUUUUCAAGCUGUGACAAAAUUUAGAAUAAGUAACUGGGCUAAGAUUAAAACACAAAUUACAUUGUUAAGAACAAA